GAUCACGUGACUAGCUUUUCUUCCUCCCUGUGGAUUUGCUCCGUCUGACGCCAUUACGAGUCAUGUCUGUUUUAUGUGAUUCCGUGGGACUUAGCCGCCGCUGUAAAGACACGCCAUGGAGAUCAAAGAGGCUGGGGAAGGAGACGGUGGCUGAGUGGUUAGCGUGCCGGUCCUGCGUUCGCCACGUCAUGGAUGAUGAGGGUUUGAAUCUGUCGCUGCCACAGACUACUUGUCCUGAAGACCACCACCAUCAUCCUGGACUGUAUGGGACUGUCCAAGGGAAAGCAAGAUGGGGCCGCUAUAAACACUUGCCGGCUUGGGCCCACCACCAGGCCCAGCCGAGGGAGGUUGGUGUAGCAGUGCCGGGAGGUUCCAUAACACAGGGCACUCCUCACCUCAACAACAGUCUCUUCACCGACAAGUAAUUCUUCACCAACAAGCUUUUCAGCAGCUUGGAGAAAUAGACACCACCAAACGAAGAAGAGGAGGAGGAGGAGGAGGAAGAAGAAGACGAGGAACACAGGAGGAACCCAUUGAAUUGAAUGGCUGGCGUCUCGGUCUGCCUGCCUGCGGGACACCGCACACUCUGGAAGAAGAAAGAACACCAAGAUGUCAAGUUCCUGCAGAAUCAGCCUCUUAGUGAAGGAAAUGUGCUCUAUUUAUUUAAUAAAUGAUUGACAAAA